GGCUUGGUGGCUGAGUGGUAAAGCGCUUGGCUUCCGAACCGGGGUCCCGGGUUCGAAUCCUGGUGAAGACA
rnacentral:tRNA from 1 species